UGGGGAAUAUUGGACAAUGGGCGCAAGCCUGAUCCAGCCAUGCCGCGUGAGUGAUGAAGGCCUUAGGGUUGUAAAGCUCUUUUGGCGGGGACGAUAAUGACGGUACCCGCAGAAUAAGUCCCGGCUAACUUCGUGCCAGCAGCCGCGGUAAUACGAAGGGGACUAGCGUUGUUCGGAAUCACUGGGCGUAAAGCGCACGUAGGCGGAUAUGUCAGUCAGGGGUGAAAUUCCGGGGCUCAACCUCGGAACUGCCUUUGAUACAGCAUGUCUUGAGUCCGAUAGAGGUGGGUGGAAUUCCUAGUGUAGAGGUGAAAUUCGUAGAUAUUAGGAAGAACACCGGUGGCGAAGGCGGCCCACUGGAUCGGUACUGACGCUGAGGUGCGAAAGCGUGGGGAGCAAACA
rnacentral:rRNA from 1 species